CUCCAUCCUGGUACACUGCUGGGCAGAUCAAUCUGAAAACUCCCUCCAUACUGGUACACUGCUGGGCAGGUCAAUCUGAAAACUCCCUCCAUGCUGGUACACUGCUGGGCAGGUCAAUCUGAAAACUCCCUCCAUGCUGGUACACUGCUGGGCAGAUCAAUCUGAAAACUCCCUCCAUGCUGGUACACUGCUGGGCAGAUCAAUCUGAAAACUCCCUCCAUGCUGGUACACUGCUGGACAGGUCAAUCUGAAAACUCCCUCCAUGCUGGUACACUGCUUGGCAGGUCAAUCUGAAAACUCC
rnacentral:lncRNA from 1 species